AUCUUCUUAAGGUAGCAGUGAGGGCCAGUGGACAGGCUGUGGGCUUCAGAUCCCCUUGGUUUUGUGGGACAGACUGAGUUGAGUAACACACUUCUGAACCUCAGGAGCCUCCAAUGUGAAAUGGCGACCACACCUCACCAGGGAUGACACUCUCACAGGGUUUGUGUGAGAUUAAGGGUGAACAGGUUUGCCAAGUGCAACUCAUGAAGGUGCAGUUCUGGGGUGACAAGUCAGGUUGAAUCAGCAUUUAUAACCAGAUUUUGCUGGCCAGUUACUUCCAUCUUCAAAACCACAGUGCCUCACACCUUGCCCUCUCCCCUCAAAAAAUCUGUUCAAGUAUGUCUAGAAUUCCCAGGGUGACCUCUUAUGUGCUCACAAUAGCCGUGCCAGCUUCUUCUGCAAGGAUGUCUUGUUGAUCACACCUGUCUGUCAGCUUCUCAAGGAAGACACGUCCCCCUCUGCUGCUUUUGCUCAUGCGAGCUGUGAAAAGGCUGCUUCUGCCCUCUACGUCUACACCGUCGAUCUGAUCCUUAGGUCCUUUGGACUUCUUGAGUCUGGCUAAAAGUACUGAAUACUCUCUAGGGGAUGUUAGAUUCGGAAAGUGAAAUCAAACGGAUAAGGACUAAUUAUCCCGUGGAUAGCCUCGCCUUUUUGCUAGCGGGGUCCUGUCUAUUAUGCCUCCGGUGUUGUGAAUUUAAUGCCAUUGUAUAGAACGGGCACGGCAAAGCAAACCGCAGCGUCGAGCGAGGAGAGAGGGAAGCGGUCAGGGCGGGGAAGGUGUCGGGUUGACAACCUCGGUUCCCGCGUCUCCCUCGCGGUUCGGUCGGGCACUCGCCCGGGAGCGCGGGUGUUUAAACAGACAGCAUCUGCCACAGCAGCCGGCCCUCCUGCCGCCUCUCAACGGGGGGGAACAUUCAUCUCCCUGGUAUCUUCUGUGCGUUAAUUUAGCAAAACCGUGUUCCUGCGGGUAAGCCAAAGUAAUCAGUACUCACAGGAGAUAAGACUUCGAAAAGACAAUUUGGAGCCAUUCGAACAACUCUAGGUCUCUCUGGUUGAGAUACUUUGGGGAGCAUACACUCAAAAUGUGUAGACAGCCCUUUGGAAUUUGCGAUUUUUGCCCAGAUUAUAAGAUUGUAUUUAUCUGAGAAAUCUCCAGGCAACUGUCUGAAAGCAGACGGGGAUUUCCACUUGACAUGCCCUCAGGGCAUCGGCGAUUCCACAAGAUGGGGAUAUUCUCAAAGGAAAGUAGAGUAGCCCUCUUCAAGGGAAGACGGAUCCGUCCCGAGUUCACAACAACUGGUAGUAUCGCGUCCUUUCUGGGAAGGAAGAGGAGAGCACACAGCAGAUGCUCUUGAGGUUAUUUGUAGACUUACU
rnacentral:lncRNA from 1 species